AAGUUCUCAACUUUUCUUAAGCAUGACACUUACAGCUCAAAUGCUGAAUCAUUUUCCUUCUCUUGACAACACAACUUUUCAACCUUUCCUUUUUCUCACACGUAUAAAACCACAAGCUCUUCUCAGUCUAUCAUUUAAUGAUUCAUCCCCAACAUAAUACGUGUCAUAAGGCAUGGCCAAUGAGCUGUCAUCUGCUAACACACUUUUCCUCCUCAUUGGACAGCACAACAAAAGAAUUAAUUUACUAAGGCCAUUUGCUCCAUGCGAUAGGCACAAGGUUUCAACAGCCUUCUUUUCUUGUUUUUCUGAAGCCUAUAAAAGGCCAUGUAUAUUGUGAGCUUUUGGAUUUUAAUUCAGUAUCCGUCAACAAUUAUUCCUUUCUUUUACCUUAUUUACGUCCCUCUCUCUAUCUAUGCCAAACAUUUCUUUCCACUUUCUCUCAUACGUAGCUCACAAUAAAAUUAGUUAUGAGUGAGUUAGUUUUUUUUUUUUAAAUUCUUAAGUUUUGGAGCGGAAGCUAGGAUCUUGAAGCUUAGCAUUUUUUAAAGCGAUUAAUUUUCUAAGGACACGAAGUGCAAUAAUGCGUUCGUGUCGGAGCUAAAAGAUGGAAGGAAAGCUAGUCGGUACGAGGAGCGAUGACGUGAUUGGAUCGAAGUCGCAACUUAGAAAAGAAAGUGGCUAAGGCGAUGAAGAGCCUUCUGGCGAUGCUUAGCCAUGCUGAGAUGGAGAAGGGAUAGUAACCGGCGGAGCAAGGAUGUAAGAAGCUGUAUAGUUUCCUCUUAGUAGUUUAUGUUUUGAGUCUUCUUUGCUAUCUGAAAAUUCUGUUACAAAAAUCAUGUUUUCGCCACUGUUUAAGUGUGCGCACUUAUUUUGAAAACUUACUUAUGCUAUUGUAAGACACUAUUAUUAUAUGUCAGGAACGAGUUGUUUAAUUAA